UACGGAAGGUCCGGGCGUUAUCCGGAUUUAUUGGGUUUAAAGGGAGCGCAGGCGGGCCCUUAAGCGUGACGUGAAAUGCAGCGGCUCAACCGUAUGAAGUGCGUCGCGAACUGGGGGUCUUGAGUGGGUGCGAGGUAUGCGGAAUUCGUGGUGUAGCGGUGAAAUGCUUAGAUAUCACGAGGAACCCCGAUUGCGAAGGCAGCGUACCAGUCCCUUACUGACGCUAAAGCUCGAAGGUGCGGGUA
rnacentral:rRNA from 1 species